GCCAAAGAAAGAAAACCACGGACAAGAUUACAAAGAUUUUGAAGACGCUUUCUUCAGUCAAGCCAGGAUACUACCACGAGCGCCAUUACAGCUUUGACAAAUCCGAAAAUUAAACAACAAUCAUUGAUCUGUGAAAAUAGCUAUUGUGAUAAGUCUUCAGUAAAACAUGUUAUGAAGAUUGAAGAUGAGGAUUUUACAGCUAUAAAGAUAUAUUACAUUUCGUCUUGAAAUGAUCCAAAUCUAUCAUAUUUGGAAUGCGUGGAAUUGGAAUUGAACAAUUGUACAAAUUUAAGGACAAAUUAAUCUGUAGGCCUGAGCGAUCUGUGCAAAGAAACUUAGACCCCAGUUACACGAUAGCUGAUUCGCAUUGAAGCGACAUCAAAUUUUACAGUUUCAAGGGGAGUUUAGCACUCAAAAUUAUGAUAAUACAAUAGAAUUAGUAAAAAACUUCAAAUAUAAAAAGUUGUAAGAGGCCGAAAACUGUCUUAGUUGACGUCGCUUGACUCGCUCCGAUGCGAAUCCCGUUCGUGUAACUGAGGCCUUAGUUUGAAAAUUGUGAUAUGUGUGAGUAAUAAUGACGAGCAUGUGUCUGUUGUACAAAUGAUUUGCAUAUUUAACGCGGGGUAUUAGAAGUCAAGUGACACUGUGUGUGCAUACUGCGAAUGUAAAUAUAAAAUUAUUUAAUAAAUAAACAAACAUUUACCGCUUGGC